GCUGGGGUAGCGAAGUGGCCAAACGCAUCUGACUGUAAAUCAGACGGCUUACGCCUUCGGGGGUUCGAAUCCCUCCCCCAGCA
rnacentral:tRNA from 1 species